AGGGCGCAGCGCACCUGGCCGUUGGCGCCCGAGUCCCUGUCCGAGGUGCUGACCAGCGCCACCAGGCUCUCGCGCGCCGCCCCCUCCGGCACCAGCGAGGCGGCGCCGGCCUCGGGCGUCCCGGNNNNNNNNNNNNNNNNNNNNNNNNNNNNNNNNNNNNNNNNNNNNNNNNNNNNNNNNNNNNNNNNNNNNNNNNNNNNNNNNNNNNNNNNNNNNNNNNNNNNAGGCGGCGUCCGCACCCCCGAGGGCGGCGGCGGCGGCGGCGGCCGCAAAGGGCGAGGCGGCUGGAGCGCCCGGGGCGGCCAGAGGCGUGAUGGAGAUGUCCGGAGCGUUGUCGUUGACGUCGCGGAUGCGCACUAUGACCUUGCAGGUGGCCGCGCGCGGCCCAGUGCCGCGGUCCUGCGCCCGCACGUCCAGCUCGUAGGUGUCCUGGCGCUCGUAGUCCACCGGGCCGGCCAGAGUGAGGCGGCCCGAGCGCGGGUCGAGCCGGAAGAGGCGGCGCGCCUCGGGCGGGGUGCGCGCGCCAAAGGCGAACAUCACGUCGCCGUUGGGGCCCUCGUCCGGGUCGGCCGCGUCCAGGUCCAGGAGCAGCGAGCCCACGGGCGCGUCCUCCGCCAGCUCCACCUCGGCCACCGCGCCCUGGGGGAAGGCCGGGCUGUGAUCGUUGGCGUCCAGCACGCGCACGCUGAGGGCCGCGGUGGCGGAGCGCGGGGGGCGGCCGCCGUCCUGGGCCACCAGCUCCAGGCUGUAGGCGGCCUGGCUCUCGCGGUCCAGCUCCUGCAGCAGCACCAGAUCGGCACACUGGGCGCCGUCCGCGCGCGUCUGCAGCUCCACGCGGAAGGGGCUGUUCGGCUCGGUCAGGCGCAGGCUCUGCAGACCGUUCGCCCCCACGUCUUCGUCCACCGGCACCUCCAGGGGGAUGCGAGUGCCCACCGCCGCGCCCUCGGACACCUCCACGGGGAUCUGGGCCCGGGGGAAGCGCGGCGCGUGGUCGUUGACGUCCCUCACCUCCACCUCCACGUGCACCAGCCGGAACUGCUCCUGGGAGAAGCUGACCACGUCGAAGGCCAGCACGCACUGCGGCGCUUGGCCGCACAGCCGCUCACGGUCAAGGCCUGCGUCCCCGACGGUCAGCUGCCCGUCGCCCUCGCGCACCCGGAGCAGGGAGCUGUUGAACUGCUUCAGGUGGAUGUGGCUUGGCACCUUGUUCUUGGAAUUAAACUGAUCACGGUCAAAGAGAACACCAGUGACAGUACCAGAGGCUUCUUCCUCAUAGGAAUGCCUCAAAUUCCAAGUGAGCCAGUGAGAUUGACUUUGGUACUUGACCUUCAGUCAUGAAUGAAAGGAUCAAACAUUGUGUUCCUCUCACCCUGCAGGGAGGAGACUUUCUCACCCACCAUAGAAUAUAGGAAAGCAAGGGGAAAACAAAAGAAUAAAGACUGAGGAGUAACAUCUCAUCUGUGCUUAUUUUAACCCUCUCCUACUUUCCUCUUAUCUGAGGCCUUCUAUUACUUCCCAGCAUCAAAGCUCAUAUCCAUGACUAACUAGAGCACUUUCAGGCCCUUUAGAAGCAGUUAUUUGAUCACUUAUUGGUGAUUUAAUAAAGCACACAGCCUUGUUAGAAGAUAAUACUUCAGACAUUCACCUUUGUGAUUUAGAGAUGGUCACAAAUGCCAAAUGACAGAAAAAGUUAUAUAAAGUACAGAUGGGAAGUAAUCUCAGAGUUUGCACAUAAGAUUACAGUGAGCUAGAAUUGCCAGGGAUGGAAAGAAUCUGGCAGUGAUGUAAUCAUGAUGUGGAAAAGAGCAAACAGAGCUUGUAAAAGGCCCAAAGAGACCCAGUGGCUGGAAUGAAUGCUUCAAAAGGAAUGAUAUGUACGCUCAAAAGUCAAUACUUCUAAGGACGCAGUGAGAAAGCACUCAUGUUCGUGGACCAAGGAACUGUUGGCCCUAAGAAUCAGGGACUAGAGGGGCUUGGCCACAGUUAUACGAAAAAGAGUCUCCUGUUGAACAUAAUUCCUCUGAAAGCAACAAAGAACAAAUUUGAAUGCUUGGCACAGGUGAGAAAGACGUUGAUGGUAUGCUCAAAAGUCAAUACUUCUAAGGACACAGUCAGAAAGCACUAAGGUUCGUGGACCAAGGAACUGUUGGUGCGCAACUUAUUAUAAUAAAUAAUGUAGAUUAUUGCCUUCCCAAAACAUUGAUGAAAUGCUCAAGAUUUCAUCCAACUUUAAAUGAAUAUUCAAUAGAAUGAAUGCAUUAGAAUAUUCCUUGCAUGAAUGAUCAGGACCAAAUCAUAUUCAACCUCUGCCAACCUCAGUACUCCCCUGGUAGCACAAUGACUUAACGAGAAAUAGGACGCCAGAAGAAACCCAUUGAAGCCGCCUGCAGCAAUCUGAGUACAAGAUGUUGAAGGCCUGAACACUGAGUAGGAGGAUGCAUUGGGGGAAGAUCUGGAGAGCAUCAGGACGGAAGAGUUGGUAGGACUUCAUGAUAGAUGAGCUCGAGGAGAUGGACAAGAUGAAACAAAUAAAUUGCGCUA
ensembl:lincRNA